CACGUAGUUAGCCGGUGCUUAUUCUUCAGGUACCGUCAUUAGUGCGGGAUAUUAGCCCACACCGUUUCUUCCCUGACAAAAGAGCUUUACAACCCGAAGGCCUUCUUCACUCACGCGGCAUUGCUGGAUCAGGCUUUCGCCCAUUGUCCAAAAUUCCCCACUGCUGCCUCCCGUAGGAGUCUGGACCGUGUCUCAGUUCCAGUGUGGCUGGUCGUCCUCUCAGACCAGCUACUGAUCGAUGCCUUGGUAGGCCUUUACCCCACCAACUAGCUAAUCAGAUAUCGGCCGCUCCAGGAGCACAAGGCCUUGCGGUCCCUGCUUUCAUCCUUAGAUCGUAUGCGGUAUUAGCGUAACUUUCGCUACGUUACUCCCCCACUCCAGGGUACUUCCGAUAUAUUACUCACCCGUUCGCCACUCGCCGCCACGGUUCGCCCCGCGCUGCCGUUCGACUUGCAUGUGUAAAGGCAUGCCGCCAGCGUUCAAUCUGACGCCAGGACUCAAACU
rnacentral:rRNA from 1 species